rnacentral:rRNA from 1 species
UCUUACUGCCACACCGCCCUGAGCUCAUCUGAUCUCAGAAGCUAACCAGGGUCGGAUCAGUUUAGUACUUGGAUAGGAGACCGCCUGGGAAUACCAGAUGCUGCGAGUU